GCAUUUAAAGGGCCCGGUCAGCUGACAGACGCCAGCCCGCGUCUAACCCAGGGGGCCUGGGUCUGGCUGCCCGGGGAGAGACGAUGGCGGAUCGAGCCGGACAAGUGCUCCUGGGCAGACCCGGGGACCCGCGGAUGCCGGGGUUCUGGGGAGGCUGUAGAGUUCAGGUAUUGGCCACGAUCAUCUUCCUGCUGCUUUUGUCUCUGGCAGAAUCUGGCGCCAGGGCAAAGAAUGACUUCAGCCUGGUUCAGCCGCUGGUGACCAUGGAGCAGCUGCUGUGGGUAAGCGGGAGGCAGAUCGGUUCUGUGCACACCUUCCGAAUUCCGCUCAUCACAACCACUCCUCAGGGCACUCUCCUUGCCUUCGCUGAGGCCAGAAAAAUGUCCACAUCGGAUGAGGGGGCCAAGUUCAUUGCUCUUCGUAGGUCCUUGGACCAAGGCAGCACAUGGUCUCCUACAGCCUUCAUUGUAGAUGAUGGGGACACCCCGGAUGGGCUGAACCUGGGGGCAGUGGUGAAUGAUAUGGAGACAGGAGUGGUGUUUCUUUUCUAUUCCCUCUGUGCUCACAAGGCUGGCUGCCAGGUGGCCUCCACUAUGUUGGUGUGGAGCAAAGAUGAUGGUGUUUCCUGGAGCCCUCCCCGGAACCUCUCCUUGGAUAUUGGCACCGAGAUGUUUGCCCCUGGACCAGGCUCAGGCAUUCAGAAACAGUGGGAGCCGCGGAAGGGCCGCCUCAUCGUGUGUGGCCAUGGGACACUGGAGCGGGAUGGGGUCUUCUGCCUCCUCAGUGAUGAUCACGGUGCCACCUGGCGCUAUGGCAGUGGGGUCAGCGGCAUCCCCUAUGGCCAGCCCAAGCGGGAAAACGAUUUCAACCCUGAUGAGUGCCAGCCCUAUGAGCUCCCAGAUGGCUCAGUCGUCAUCAACGCCCGGAACCAAAACAACUACCACUGCCAUUGCCGAAUUGUCCUCCGCAGCUAUGACGCCUGUGAUACCAUACGGCCUCGUGAUGUGACCUUCGACCCUGAGCUUGUGGACCCUGUGGUAGCUGCAGGAGCUGUAGCCACCAGCUCCGGCAUUGUCUUCUUCUCCAAUCCAGCCCAUCCAGAGUUCCGAGUGAACCUGACCCUGCGCUGGAGUUUCAGCAAUGGUACAUCAUGGCGGAAAGAGACAGUCCAGCUGUGGCCAGGCCCCAGUGGCUACUCCUCACUGGCAGCCCUGGAGGGCAACGUGGGCGGGAAGGACCAGGCCCCCCAGCUCUACGUCCUGUAUGAGAAAGGCCGGAAUCAGUACACCGAGAGCAUCUCCCUGGCCAAAGUCAGCGUGUAUGGGACACUCUGAGCUGCACACCUGACACCAGAGUAGAAGGCCCUGGACUCAGCCUUCAGAACCAUGGGCCCGUAGCGGGUCUGCUAGAGGUGCCUAAAAGACAGUUCCACCUGCCUGUAGACUGUAGCCUUUUGCAAAAUCGAUUUCUCUUUGACAGGGAAGUCACUCUUUUAGGACUACAAGCCUGGCUUCUUCCACACGGGGUGUCCUGCCCUCACUUGGGAGCACAUCCCUUCCACAUCAUUGCUGGCUCUGGCCCCCUACCCCCUUCUGCCUUCCUAGGGCAGUGAUUGGUCCUUUUUUUAGGCGGGGUUAGGUAGGCCUGUGGAAUUGGAUAUAUUUGGACUCAGGGAAUUGGGGAAGGCUGAGCUUCCUCUUUAGGGUAAGAUACUGGCUAUGGAGCAGGUUGGUGAAAGUACUGUAAGGGCAAUAUUUGGAUUCAGGGUAAAGAACUAGGUGCGCCACCCACCUAGACUAUUUAUAAAUUGAACUAUUUGUAACUUAACGUUUUUAAUGAAGGAGAUCAGUAGAGCGUAGUGU